rnacentral:rRNA from 1 species
UACGGAGGGUGCGAGCGUUAUCCGGAAUCACUGGGUUUAAAGGGUGCGUAGGCGGCGAUGUAAGUCAGUUGUGAAAUUCCCCGGCUCAACCGGCGGGACUGCGAUUGAUACUGCGUUGCUUGAAUCGGGUUGAGGCAGGCGGAAUGUGGCAUGUAGCGGUGAAAUGCUUAGAUAUGCCAUAGAACACCGAUUGCGAAGGCAGCUUGCUGGGCCUUGAUUGACGCUGAGGAACGAAAGCGUGGGGAGCAAACAGG